rnacentral:rRNA from 1 species
UACGGAGGGGGCGAGCGUUGUUCGGAAUCACUGGGUGUAAAGGGUGCGUAGGCGGUGCGUUAAGUCUGAUGUGAAAGCCCUGGGCUCAACUCAGGAAUUGCAUUGGAAACUGGCGUGCUGGAGUACGGGAGAGGGAAGCGGAAUUCCUGGUGUAGCGGUGAAAUGCGUAGAUACCAGGAGGAACACCGGUGGCGAAGGCGGGUCUCUGGGCCGAUACUGACGCUGAGGAGCGAAAGCGUGGGGAGCGAACAGG